rnacentral:tmRNA from 1 species
GGGGCUGAUUCUGGAUUCGACGGGAUUUGCGAAACCCAAGCUGCAUGCCGAGGGGCGGUUGGCCUCGUAAAAAGCCGCAAAAAAUAGUCGCAAACGACGAAAACUACGCUUUAGCAGCUUAAUAACCUGCUUAGAGCCCUCUCUCCCUAGCCUCCGCUCUUAGGACGGGGAUCAAGAGAGGUCAAACCCAAAAGAGAUCGCGUGGAAGCCCUGCCUGGGGUUGAAGCGUUAAAACUUAAUCAGGCUAGUUUGUUAGUGGCGUGUCCGUCCGCAGCUGGCAAGCGAAUGUAAAGACUGACUAAGCAUGUAGUACCGAGGAUGUAGGAAUUUCGGACGCGGGUUCAACUCCCGCCAGCUCCACCA